rnacentral:tRNA from 1 species
GCGCGUAUAGCUCAGUUGGUCAGAGCGCUUGCUCGACACGCAAGAGGUCUCAGGUUCAAAUCCUGAUACGCGCA